CAGACUCUGAGUGGAGGACAGAGGGGAGCAAGGUUGCGUGGUAGUGUUCCUGACCAAGCUGUGGUCUAAGGAAGGUUCGGCAUGGCCAUCAGAGCCCUUGAGCCACAGGAGGCAACCAGUAGAGCCCCACUUCUCCCAGGAAUCGGUCUGCCUCAGUCUCCCUGCUGUGCUCAGGAACUGGCUAGAAGGAGUCUGAGGGAAGUCUAGCCUCAGCAUAAACGUGGUGAUAGAUUUCACACGGCCCUUGGCUGGUUUCACUUUCUGUAAUUGCAGGUCUGUGGGACACAUCCUUAGGGUCACCACAGACGCCAUCGUGACUCCCAUUUUACAGAGCUGGCAGAAUUCCAGAAAAAUUCCAGGGUCUGCCUGACGUCUUAAAACAGGUUGAAAAUCCACCUUUCGACUCUCUUUCAGGCUUCAUAAGUGAUACAGAUCCUAAAGCCGGAGGUGAAGGUUGAUGGAUCCUUAGGGCAUUUGGACGUAACAUCCCGGGAUGUAGGCAGUGUGACUCCGGGAACUGUGCACUGGGCAUGGAAGGAAAAUCUCCAAGAAGCCCUGUCUUCCUGGUCUGAGGAGUAGAAAGGAGAGCACCUUCACGACAAAGAUGACUUUCUGGAAGAGCACUUUGUAAACAGUGAAGGGCUGUGCACAGAUGGGGGAAAUGCCACCAUGAGGAUGACCGCGCUGAUCCAGACCAGUGGGGCCAAAG